rnacentral:lncRNA from 1 species
GUGAUGGGGUGUUUGUGGGCUCUGUCACACGACCAUUACCUCACUGCUGCGACUCAGAAGGAAGAGCGGAGGACAGUAAGCUGCUGAGCCUGCUUCCGGGAAGUUAUCCAGUCAACGUUACCUGUCUUCACGACAGCUCUUCUAGUAUCUGGAUCCACUGGGCCAUAAAACAGACCAGUCAGCUGCUGUUCACUGCGAACUAUUUGCUUCAUGAAAAUACUGUUCUGUCUUUACCCCAGGGUCCUUAUAAAUAGCAGAAGCCCUUCUGCUAUUUGGGAAUAAUCUCAUUUACAAAGACUAGAACACACCAGGUCUCUCUGAGGCAAGAAGUGGCUAGCUGCAGCAGAACCUGAUGGCUCUCUGGGGUAAAGCCUCCGUGAUAGAGUAGAAUGUUGUUCUGAAUAUUGAGGGAUCCUGGAUAAGGACCACGGUAAUGAUUGCCUGAGGAGAGUGGGCCUGGACUCCAAGAAGGUCCCGAGAGGCGCAGGUGGGAAAGCUCCUGGAGGCCUUGCUGAACCACAGACAUAAACUCAUACUGCUUAUUGAGAUAAGUCAUGCAAGUAUGUCCCGAAGAAUGUCCCGAAGAAGGAGAAUCCAACUGUUUCUACCCAAAGGAGAAAGGAAUGAUGGGUAAAAAUCUAUAAGGAGUUUUCACAUCCCCGCUGACGCAGCAGCACACACGUAUGGGAUGCAUACACGUAUAACAUGCAAGGAUUCAGCCAGGGCUACUCCCUACAUUUUUCUCUCUCCGCAUUGAAAACAUUAGAAACCCUCUACACUAGGCAAGGGGAGAGGGUGUGAAGGAGAAAAGGAAGUUAAAG